rnacentral:rRNA from 1 species
CCUACGGGAGGCAGCAGUGGGGAAUAUUGCACAAUGGGCGAAAGCCUGAUGCAGCAAAGCCGCGUGAAGGAAGAAGGUGUUCAGCUCGUAAACUUCUAUCAGCAGGGGCGAAAAAAAAGACUGUACCUGCAUAAGAAGCCCCGGCUAACUACGUGCAAGCAGCCGCGGUAAUACGUAGGGGUCAAGCGUUAUCCGGAAUUACGGGGUGUACGGGGUGAGUAGGCGGAAUGGUAAGACAGAUGUGAAAGCCUUGGGCUUAACCCGAGGAUUGCAUUUGGAACUAUCAAGCUAGAGUACAGGAGAGGAAAGCGGAAUUCCGAGUGUAGCGGUGAAAUGCGUAGAUAUUAGGAAGAACACCAGUGGCGAAGGCGGCUUUCUGGACUGAAACUGACGCUGAGGCACGAAAGCGUGGGUAGCGAACAGGAUUAGAUACCCGAGUAGUC